AUAUAAGCCAGGUUAAGAAGGCCGGCAUUUGCCAAGCAUCUUACUUUCACGCAGAAAUCUGGAAGCUAUGUAUUUCCUCUCUUAUCACUAUUUCAUGGUACUAGUCCUCUGUGCUUUAGCAUUCUUCAUACAGCAAUAUUUGGUCUAUGCAGAUAGAUGGGUCAGUAGGAAAUCGAAAGGAAAGAUGAGUCCUCCAGAAGUCAAUUCCAAAGAACCAAACCAAACGCAGAGCAUGUUUCCACUUCUGCACUUGCCGCUUGGACCCCUUCAUGCAUAGAGCUACAAGGCAGGAGGAUCCCAUGUUGUUGUCAUCGUCCUUUAAUCAUAAGCCCUUGAACAUUUAUUUAUACUUGCGGGGUUUUUAUUCUGUAAUUUUAUUUUCCUACUAUAUAUAUGUACCUCUUGAGUUAAUGACGCUUGUAAGAAAGAAAAGAUCUUUAUCUUUUGAGUAAAUUAUAAGUUACCGUGUGUUUUUAAGAAAA